rnacentral:miRNA from 1 species
UUCGUGUGCCAUCGUCCUUUGU